rnacentral:ncRNA from 1 species
GAAGUUAAUGACAAUGUGCCCAUAGCGGAGAGAACAGCCAGAUCGUAAAGACGCCGUAAAAUCGUCCCUGAUGGCUCGAGCCGCGCCAUCCUUGGCGCGGACGCUUU